UGCAGGCUUCUGGGAUACUGUUGACUCAUCUGUAGGCCUCGAAAUGUCAGACUUAUCUGCAGGUUUCUGGGAUUGUUGUGGCUCAUCUGCAGGCUUCUGGGAUCCUCGUGACUCAUCUGUAGGUCUCAAAGAUUCAGGCUUAUGAUCUGCAGGCUUCUGGGAUCCUCGUGACUCAUCUGUAGGCCUCAAAGAUUCAGGCUUAUGAUCUGCAGGCUUCUGAGGUGUGGGACGUUCAGGGAUAGUCAAUUUGCUAUCUUGCUUGCCUCCUGGAGCGAUGAGUUUUGGUAGUCUAACGUACAAUAUGCC
rnacentral:lncRNA from 1 species